rnacentral:lncRNA from 1 species
CUGUCCAGCAGGGUGUUAUUGUCCCUCCUUCGGCUGUAAUAGUAGUGUUGUUCAGUCCAGUUUACUUAGCACUGGCAAAGGGGGACUGCAGCAAACAGAGAAAAUCGAUAAAUUAAAAAAAAAAAAAGUCUGUGUAAGAUACAAUUAUGCAAAAAAGAAGGCAUCUUUUUCCUCAAGGGUUUGGCAUCAAAUGCCACACCCUUGAUUUGUCUUUUAGUGGGUGGACUGUUCACAGGUGGGUAUUCUGUGGUCUGGUCUGUUUUCAGGAACUUUUUUCCUCCAAAAAAACAGAAAUCUGAUCCAGAAGUGCAAAAGAGACUCUCUCGCAAAGAAUUGUUUGACCACCAAAAGAAGAACAAACCCAAACCUCCUCCAAUAUAACACUGUCCUGGUGCCUUGCAUCCACAACUACCAAGAAAAAAUAGCAAAUAGGAAAUGGGGAGAUGCAGUUUGUGUAUAAUUACCACCCUCCCUGCCUACCACCCCCCACUAUAAAGUAAGGAAUAAGAAAAGAUGAGUAGUUACGGAGGUGAAAGCUAAGGUAUCCAUCAUGGCAAAGAAGGUACUUGGCUAAACAACCUACUAUUGAAAUAGUGUGAUCUUGAAGCAAUUGGUGAGGUGAUGAAGCUAUAUUUAUUGAACCUGGCAUUAAAAAGACUAGAGGAGAGUCAAGUUUCUGUCUGUCACUACCUAAAGAGGGUGUUGGGUAGUGGAACAAGAGUCGCUUGAGGUACAUAACAAAAAGACAGGAAGCAAUGGAGGUGACAGAAACCGGUUGUAGAAUAGGAAAUUCUGUCUGGACAUUAAUAGAAAGUCAUCUUCUGAGAGUGGUUCAUCACUGCCCAGCUGAGCAGUCUCUGUCCUUCAGAGAUGUCUAGAAAUAGCUUGGACCAGACUCCUUGCUGCUUUGAGGUGCUGCUGAUCACCUGCUGCUGAAGUCUGAGGUAGGAUUUGACAAUGUAAUAAGCCUCUGUCUCUGUAGUGAGAAUCUGGUAGUGUUUCUACUGGAAUUUCAUUCUCCUGUGCAAAAGCAGUCUUUGUUUCCUGUCCUUGCUCCCCCUGAAUGAGUAAUGUUUGUCUAUUUUUGUU